AGGGGAUGACUGCCACAACAUAUAAAAAAGGCGGAAACACUCGCAGACGGUCGAUUUGCCAAAGCGGACGAAUGAAGAUGCCGAAACUUAAACGUGAGGUAUCUUCCUGCGGUGGCCAUUUUUUUAAAUCAACAGAUGAAGUUCCAGCAGGUGACGUGACCUCCUGUGGUGGCCAUUUUGUUAACCAACAGAUGAAGUUACAGCAGGUGACGUGACCUGGGACGGCCAUUUUGUAAACCAACAGAUGAAGUUACAGCAGGUGACAUGACCUUCUGGGACGGCCAUUUUGUAAACCAACAGAUUAAGUUACAGCAGGUGACAUGACCUUCUGGGACGGCCAUUUUGUAAACCAACAGAUGAAGUUACAGCAGGUGACGUGACCUGGGACGGCCAUUUUGUAAACCAACAGAUGAAGUUACAGCAGGUGACAUGACCUUCUGGGACGGCCAUUUUGUAAACCAACAGAUUAAGUUACAGCAGGUGACAUGACCUUCUGGGACGGCCAUUUUGUAAACCAACAGAUUAAGUUACAGCAGGUGACAUGACCUUCUGGGACGGCCAUUUUGUAAACCAACAAAUUAAGUUACAGCAGGUGACAUGACCUUCUGGGACGGCCAUUUUGUAAACCAACAGAUGAAGUUACAGCAGGUGAUGUAACCUUCUUUGGUGGCCAUUUUGUAGAUGGAGUUCCAGGCAGGUGACGUGACCUCCUGUGGUAGCCAUUUUGUAAACCAACCGAUGAAGUUCCAGCGGGUGACGUAACCUUCCGGGGUGGCUCUCUUGUAAACCAACAGAUGACGUUCUAGCAGGUGACGUAACCUUUGACGGCCAUUUUGUAGACCAACAGAUGGAGUUCCAGGAAGGUUGGUUGACCACCAGCUCGGGGACGUUGGACCAGAACCACAUUUGUUGUGUUGGCAUCACAAGACCUUGUUUAUUUGUUGUAAUGUUUAAGUUAAAUAAAAUUACCUAAACAA